AGUGAACGCUGGCGGCAGGCCUAAUACAUGCAAGUCGAACGGCAGCACAGUGGAGCUUGCUCCAUGGGUGGCGAGUGGCGGACGGGUGAGGAAUACAUGGGAAUCUGCCCAGUCGUGGGGGAUAACGUAGGGAAACUUACGCUAAUACCGCAUGCGCCCUUCGGGGGAAAGCCGGGGACCUUCGGGCCUGGCGCGAUUGGGUGAGCCCAUGUUCGAUUAGCUAGUUGGCGGGGUAAAGGCCCACCAAGGCGACGAUCGAUAGCUGGUCUGAGAGGAUGAUCAGCCACACUGGGACUGAGACACGGCCCAGACUCCUACGGGAGGCAGCAGUAGGGAAUAUUGGACAAUGGGCGCAAGCCUGAUCCAGCCAUGCCGCGUGAGUGAAGAAGGCCCUCGGGUUGUAAAGCUCUUUUGUCCGGGAAGAAAAGCAUCGGGCUAAUACCUCGGUGUUCUGACGGUACCGGAAGAAUAAGCACCGGCUAACUUCGUG
rnacentral:rRNA from 1 species